UACGUAGGGGGCAAGCGUUGUCCGGAAUCAUUGGGCGUAAAGCGCGCGUAGGCGGCCCUGUAAGUCCGCUGUAAAAGUCAAAGGCUCAACCUUUGAAAGCCGGUGGAUACUGCAGGGCUAGAGUCCGGAAGAGGCGAGUGGAAUUCCUGGUGUAGCGGUGGAAUGCGCAGAUAUCAGGAGGAACACCCGUAGCGAAGGCGGCACUCUGGGCCGGAACUGACGCUGAGGAGCGAAAGCGUGGGGAGCGAACAGG
rnacentral:rRNA from 1 species